rnacentral:rRNA from 1 species
CUACGGGUCGCUCCAGUGAGGAAUAUUGCACAAUGGGGGGAACCCUGAUGCGGCAACGCCGCGUGGAGGAUGACGCAUUUCGGUGUGUAAACUCCUUUUAUAUGUCAAGAAAAUGACGGUAGCAUAUGAAUAAGCACCGGCUAACUCCGUGCCAGCAGCCGCGGUAAUACGGAGGGUGCAAGCGUUACUCGGAAUCACUGGGCGUAAAGAACGCGUAGGCGGGCUUGUAAGUCAGGUGUGAAAUCCCACAGCUUAACUGUAGAACUGCACUUGAAACUACGAGCCUAGAGUAUGGGAGGGGGAGAUGGAAUUAGUGGUGUAGGGGUAAUAUCCGUAGAUAUCACUAGGAAUACCUAAAGCGAAGGCGAUCUCCUGGAACAUAACUGACGCUAAGGCGUGAAAGCGUGGGGAGCAAACAGGAUUAGAUACCCGGGUAGUC